CUUUAUGUUGAAUAUGUAUUUGUUGCCACGAAUGAUGAUAUUGAAUUCAACAAGCACGAACUUUGAUUUGAACUCAUACUCCUUGAACCUUGAUUUGUUCUUCAUUCUUGAGCUUGAACUUGAUUUCUUGAACUUGAACUUGAAGCUUGAAACUUGUGGAAGAAUUUGCAGCAUUUGAUCCACGGGCUCUUUUUUGCUUCUUGU
rnacentral:lncRNA from 1 species